rnacentral:rRNA from 1 species
AAUGAACGUUGGCGGCGUGGAUUAGGCAUGCAAGUCGAGCGAGAAGUCUCCCUUCGGGGAGAUGGACAGCGGCAAACGGGGUAGUAAUGCGUAGGUUACGUACCCCAGGGACUGGGACAGCUGCGGGAAACUGCAGGUAAUACCGGAUAAUCUCUUCGGAGCAAAUGGUGUGAUUCCGCCCUGGGAGCGGCUUAUGUGGUACUAGGUUGUUGGUGAGGUAACGGCUCACCAAGCCUGAGAUGCCUAGGGGGUGUGAGAGCAUGGCCCCCACCACUGGGACUGAGACACUGCCCAGACACCUACGGGUGGCUGCAGUCGAGAAUCUUCGGCAAUGGGCGCAAGCCUGACCGAGCGACGCCGCGUGCGGGAUGAAGGCCCUUGGGUUGUAAACCGCUGUCAGAGGGGAUGAAAUCCUUGAAGGCUAUCCUUCUUGGUUGACAGAGCCUCAAAGGAAGCACGGGCUAAGUACGUGCCAGCCGCCGCCGUAACAC